UGGGGAAUUUUGGACAAUGGGCGCAAGCCUGAUCCAGCCAUGCCGCGUGAGUGAAGAAGGCCUUCGGGUUGUAAAGCUCUUUCGGACGGGAAGAAAUGGCGGGCUCUAACAUAGCCUGUCGAUGACGGUACCGUAAGAAGAAGCACCGGCUAACUACGUGCCAGCAGCCGCGGUAAUACGACGGGUGCAAGCGUUACUCGGAAUUACUGGGCGUAAAGCGUGCGUAGGUGGUUGUUUAAGUCUGAUGUGAAAGCCCUGGGCUCAACCGGGGAAUGGCAUUGGAAACUGGGCAGCUAGAGUGCGGUAGAGGGUAGUGGAAUUCCCGGUGUAGCAGUGAAAUGCGUAGAGAUCGGGAGGAACAUCUGUGGCGAAGGCGACUGCCUGGACCAGCACUGACACUGAGGCACGAAAGCGUGGGGAGCGAACA
rnacentral:rRNA from 1 species